GAGGAAGGCUAAAAAGGAAAUUUUAUGGUGCUCUAAGAGAUAUUUAAGUCUUUUUAUGAUUGUCCUAGCCGUUGGAUUCAAUAAGGAUAGUUUUGAUUUUCCUACCGACAAUCAGUUGAGACAGCGAUGUGUAUGAUUAAUGUGAUAAAUAUUUUAAUUAUUUAAUAUUAAAAUGGGCGGUAAGAUCCGCAAUUAACCUCAACUUAAAUGUUUUUUUUUUUCCUACUCAUGGAUUUUUUUUUUCUUUCACCGCCACCCCUCCUCUCCCAUAUCUCCAUUUUCGGUGGUUGGCGACGGCAAGGGGGUUUGCAGGGCGACUGAGUUGCUGCUGAAGGGUGAAGAGGGGUCAUUGCUCGCUCUUGCUGUGCCGAGUCCACAGGCCGGACCAAAUCUUGCGGGAGAAAUCCGUGCUGCUGUACAUUCGAAGAUCCUGCGACGAGGUAUUGCUUUUCAAGAACUUGAUCUGAAAGAUUCUCACCNNNNNNNNNNNNNNNNNNNNUUAUAGCACUUCUACAUUUAUGUUCAUAUGAUAAUAUAAUUUGAAUUUAAAAAAAAUGAAAUUUGUUGUUUUCAAAAUGUAUUGAUGAUAUUACCUCAAUUUCAAAAUUUAGAGCUGAAAGAGAGGUGAUGCUUGCUAUGCGAAGACGAUAUAUUUUGCUCGGGAUGACUGUUAACACAUAAGGCGAGCACUCCACAUUAGUUGCAUUGCAGAUGUUGCUUUGUAUAUCGGAGCAAUUGAAUUUUCCUUUUCCAUUGAUCAAAAGUGACUGCAAUAUUAAAAAGACUUUGCUAAGUGCAACCUUUAGAAGAUUUUAAGAAGGCACCACUCUAUUAUUUGUUCGAACAAAAAUUUUCAAAAAGAGAAAAAGAAUUUUUUGAGAAAGACAAGUUAAAAAUAAAAAUCUUAAUAUAGGAGGAAGAUUAAAAAAGAAUUUUUAUGGUGCUCUAAGGGAUAUUUAAGUUUUUGUGAUUGUUGUGACCAUUGGAUUCAAUAAGAAUAGUUUUGAUUUCUCUAUCAAUAGGAUAGUUUCGAUUUCUCUAUCGACAACCAGUUGAAACGGCGAUGUAUACGGCUAAUAUGAUAAAUAUUUUAAUUAUUUAAAUAUUAAAAAUGGGUGGUAAGAUCCGCAAUUAACCUCAACUUAAAGGUUUUUUUUUUUUCCUACUCAUGGAUUUUUUUUUUUCUUUCACCGCCACCCCUCCUCUCCCAUAUCUCGAUUUUCGGUGGUUGGCGACGGCAAGGGGGUUUGCAGGGCGACUGAGUUGCUGCUGAAGGGGGAAGAGGGGUCAUUGCUCGCUCUUGCUGUGCCGAGUCCACCGGCCGGACCAAAUCUUGCGGGAGAAAUCCGUGCUGCUGUACAUUCGAAGAUCCUGCAACGAGGUAUUUCUUUUCAAGAACUUGAUCUGAAAGAUUCUCAGCNNNNNNNNNNNNNNNNNNNNNNNNNNNNNNNUCUCGCCGGAACUUGAACCAGUCUGAUGAGUGUUCGACCAUCUCGAAGCUGCGAAGGAGGAGGAUGAUUCUGAGGUCGCAGUCGCCAGCGAAUUGGGGGUGAACCUGGAGCUUGAAGGUAUAGGAGUCAUUGCCGUGGAUGUGGAAGUUGGUCCCGGAGGUGGUGAAGUGGGUGGUCAUCAGCGAGAGCAGAGGAGGAAGGGGCCGAGGAGGAGGAGGAUGGUUGUUGUCACCGCCGCAGGCAGUGAGGUCACCGGCAUCGGUUGAGGUGAGGCGGUGGAUGAGGAGAGCCGUCCCGAAGUUGUCCACGGCGGUGGGUAUAUGGGUAUUGCCAUGGAAGGGGAGGAGGAGGAGG
rnacentral:lncRNA from 1 species